rnacentral:rRNA from 1 species
GGGCGCCAGACAGUUUGUGAGGUUUUGGCCCUCUCAAAAUCCAAUAACCCCAAACUAGUCUUCCUAUGUGAGACUAGGCAAGAAUCAGCAAAAGUGGAAAAGUUGAGAUGGAGACUUGGUUUGAAAGGCUUUCAUGGAGUAAGUAGUGAUGGGAGAAGCAGCGGUUUAGCCCUAUUCCGGCACGAGUCACUGGCUGUGACUGUUCUUGAAUCCUGCAAACGUUUUAUCGAUGUUCAAGUGGUUGAUGGUGGCUCAGGGACGGCGCGUGGAAGGGCACCUUUGUCUAUGGGGAGCCCCGGGUAA